GUGUCACAAUUCUGGGCUGCCCACACCACAAUGCUGCCUAAGAGUGAAGAAGCAAAUGCAGAGGGCUGCAGAAGUGUGCAAAAGGACACUAAAGCCCACCAGGGAGGACGAAGGCUCCAGAAAAGCAGACAACAGGAAGGGCGAGGGAAGACAAAACAGUAUGUGAACACUUAUCAGGUGUGAGCCAGCUGCCGGCUUUGUCCAAUUAGUUUUCUUGUUUUUGAUUUUUUGAGACAAGGUCUCACUAGGUAGCUCUGGCUACUUUGGAUUUUACUUUGUAGCCCAGGCUGUCACCUGCCUCCGUGGCUAGGGACUAAGAGUGUGCACGAGCAGGCUCUGCUCUUGCUCAGUUGUGAGCCAUUUUUCACAUUUGCAGCAUGGCUUGUGAGGAACUUGCUGUGUGGACCAGGCUGGUCUUGCAACCUCCUCCUGCCUUCCAAGUGCUGGGGUUGCAGGCUGGUACUUACUGCCGGGUUUUGUUUUGUUUUUAAAAAACCCUCUGGUGCUUAAGUGGCUGGAGAGGAUGCUGUGGAAGUCAUUAGCAGCCUCCUGUAAUGGGAAGACAGCUACAGUUGGCUAGGUCAGCUGGAGGUGGUGGGGCUGUGAAACCUGAAUACCUUGCUAGUUCCUUAGGCAACAUUUGAGCUCUGAACACUUCCCAGGGAAGCAUGCUUUUGGUGGCAGGGAUGGGAGGUGGUGUGUGUGUGUGGGGGACUUCAGUUGCCAUUCCUGGCUCUCACUCCAGCCACUUCAAUCACAGGAGAAACUAAGAGACCAGUAGUAAGAACCAGGCAGCUUUAGCCUUUAAAAAAAGCAUUGUGUCAAUCAUUUCCCAAGGGACUCCCUCCAAGGUGAAGGGGCUGCUUCUGCAGGUUCCUGUGCAAUGGGUAGUUCUGCCUCUCGCGCCGGCUAUGUAUGCUGAAGAUAACUUAUCACAAGAACAAGAACAAUAAGUAGUCACAUCAGCCACAAAACUGCCAAGUCCUCGUCUGUCACAUCAGACAUGGGCAAGCUUGAUGCAGAUGCUCAGCCCCGCCCUUAGACAACACUGGAUUGCAAGCAGCAGUGGAUGGAGAUGGCUGGGAUUACAGGCGUGCAUCACCACACCCGACUCUUGUAAAGCCUUUUGAGAAGCCAAGUUUCUGCAAAGUGCUUGCUUUGCAAUCCUCUCUGUAACUCCGCCCUUCGAGAAAUCCAGCCACAUACUCCGAUUUCGGGGUGAACACACAGGACAAAAUGCUUUUCACGUAGCAAGCAGGUGAACUCAGCCAGUAACAAACUCAAACAGGCAUGUGCCACCAAGCCCGGUUUUGGAACUUGAAGAGUAUGGACUUGAAGUAGCCUCAAUUGCCAAACCCAGAGGGACUGAGUGCACUUGGGUACCUGCAGCCACUGUUCACUCUGCCCAGGAAGACCAAAUAGCCAGGAUGCAAUUUCGCCAUCAGCUGUUUCCCAGGCCCUAAAAUAUCAGCCAAGCUUGAAGAAAGCCACCGAGGCGAAGAUAAGGCCCUCUUGUGUCCACAGGCUUCAACAUUCAAAAGCAAGUCAGGCCACCCAGACCCAUGGGCUCUGGGCCUCACCCAUCCCCAUAGCAACCUCCUCUCACUGGCAAAUGCCAAGCCUGAGAUGGCUGGGCCAUGCAAUGCCAGCAAGAACACACAGGAUCCCAAGUGGCAGCCUUCUCUUCUGUCUCCCCUCCCCCACCUGAGCCUGGAACUGUUGGCUGUGGGAAGACAUAGCCAGUGCUGAAGGAAGGGGCCCUCUUACACACAGGAGGUCCCACCUCUCAGUUAUGACCAAUACUCAGGUCCACUCCAACGGAAGAGAGUUCAUGCCUGCCUUUCCUUGAGGAUCGAAAGUGUUAGCUUUGUUUAAAGAGCAAGGGGAUGGAUUUGAGAGUAACAGAAGGACUGGCCAGCAGGUCCGGGGCAACUCUCAGAUUCUAAUCUGUCAGCUUCUAUCAAGUGGGCAGCAUUCACAGCUACAGUGAACCCCCUCACCAGCCAGCAGUUCGCAAAGGGUAGUCCCUAGAGCCUGCCUCCCUCCUAGACCUGCUGGAAACAGCCAGGGUGGGGGUUACUUUUGUUUAAAUACUACACAAGAAGGAUGGCAGGGAGAGCUCCCUCUCCCCUUUCUGAAAAACAUCGAGGGAGGUAGGCGUGGGACUUCCUGGGCUGACGGUCUGUGUUUGUGGGAGGUGACUUUGUGUCUCUGAAAGGAGCAAGGCUGUUUCCCCCACCGGUCUCAGACACAGGGAGUGGGGCCCUGGCACUCUAACCAACUCAACCACAAAGCCACAGGAAGUCCUCCUGGACUGCUGGCCAGAGCCAGUAGAGGCCGGCUGGGUGGGGGUGGGGGUGGGGGGUUGGGGGGCGGGGGAAGACCGAGAGGCAGGCCCCCUCCCUGGCUGGGCAGCUCCACAUUGAAUGAUCAAGGGUAGGAAGAGCAAAGCGCUCAAGUUGGAACCUGCAUCUGGCUCCCAAAGGAUGGUCUCUAAGAGCUACACAGAGGAGGAUGCCCUGGAUCUUCUGCCUCUGACCUCAAGUGCUGAGGUUGCCUCCAUGCAGCGGAGUACUGCAGCUCAAGAACUACUGGGAGUUAACACCCAAGCUAAGCUUCGUGAGGCUUUUCUGUGUGUCUGGCCGCCUGAGAACACAGCCGACCUGCGUGGUGACCUUGACCUGACCAGAGCUCUGUCUCAGAUGGCUUCCAUAGUCAUGGUCAGUCAGAGAAGAGGAAACAGGCCCAGAGAGCGCACACCUCGCUAAGGUGUCCAGGGAUUAGAUGUGCACACUCCUGCUGGCCUACAUAUCCUGUGUGGCCCUGAAGCUCUCAUCCCACCCACAGAAGUGAAGAUGGUCCCAGAGGCGGGAGGUGACCCUUCUUGUUCAGCUUUCAAACAGGGGCAUGCGCAUGAGCAGUGUUGGCCAGUGGCACUUACAGAGCCACUUGGCUGAAUCUCCUCACCCAUCACGACAUGUUUUGAGCGCUAUACAGCAGACAAGGUUUCCAAAGUGCUGUGUCAGCCGGGCGUGGUGGCGCACGCCUUUAAUCCCAGUACUUGGGAAGCAGAGGCAGGCGGAUUUCUGAGUUCGAGGCCAGCCUGGUCUACAAAGUGAGCUCCAGGACAGCCAGGGCUACACAGAGAAACCCUGUCUCAAAAAAAAAAACAAAAAACAAAAAAAAACAAAAAAAAACAAAAAACAAAAAACAAAAAAACAAACAAAAAACCAAAGUGCUGUGUCUUACCUAUCAUGCAUCCCGACCCAUCACACAAUCUCUUCCUUCAUGUUUUAGGUCUCUUAGUUUGAGGACAAGCAUUCACACAUCUGUCCUCUGACCUAUACCCUACCUUACGCAAUGAAUUCACUUGAGCUAUUUUCACAAUGGACCUUCUACUAGAUAACACCAACUUCCUUUCUAUGGGUGUGUGAGAAGCCCAGUGUCACACAGCCCAAGCUUGCCUCACAUCAAGAAAGACCUUGAACUAUUGCUUCUCCUGCCCCCACCACUGAGAUCCCAGGCUAGUGCCACCAUGAUUCCUUUAUAUGGGCUUGGGAACUGAACCCUGGGUUAUCAGGGUAGGCAAGUGUGUUAUCAAAUGAGCUGUAUCCCUCAAACUUCAUCUCCCAUCUUUUUAUAUGAGAACACUGGGCCUAGAAGUUAAAUUGCUCCUCUGAGGUAAUACCACAAAUAAAGUAUUGAACCUGA